AUGCACCACGCGUCCAUUGCGAUGCCUGUGCGCCGGCCGCACCCACCUGACGACUGCUCGCUAGGUUUUUGGUAGUC
rnacentral:sRNA from 1 species